rnacentral:rRNA from 1 species
CCUAUGGGUGGCAGCAGUGGGGAAUAUUGGACAAUGGGCGAAAGCCUGAUCCAGCCAUGCCGCGUGUGUGAAGAAGGCCUUCGGGUUGUAAAGCACUUUCAGUGGGGAAGAAAGCCUUGGGGCUAAUACCCUCGAGGAAGGACAUCACCCACAGAAGAAGCACCGGCUAACUCCGUGCCAGCAGCCGCGGUAAUACGGAGGGUGCGAGCGUUAAUCGGAAUUACUGGGCGUAAAGCGCGCGUAGGCGGUCUGAUAAGCCGGUUGUGAAAGCCCCGGGCUCAACCUGGGAACGGCAUCCGGAACUGUCAGGCUAGAGUGCAGGAGAGGAAGGUAGAAUUCCCGGUGUAGCGGUGAAAUGCGUAGAGAUCGGGAGGAAUACCAGUGGCGAAGGCGGCCUUCUGGACUGACACUGACGCUGAGGUGCGAAAGCGUGGGUAGCAAACAGGAUUAGAUACCCUGGUAGUC